CCUACGGGGGGCUGCAGUGAGGAAUAUUGGUCAAUGGGCGCGAGCCUGAACCAGCCAAGUAGCGUGAAGGAUGACUGCCCUACGGGUUGUAAACUUCUUUUAUAAAGGAAUAAAGUGAGGCACGUGUGCCUUUUUGUAUGUACUUUAUGAAUAAGGAUCGGCUAACUCCGUGCCAGCAGCCGCGGUAAUACGGAGGAUGCGAGCGUUAUCCGGAUUUAUUGGGUUUAAGGGGUGCGUAGGCGGGAUGCCAAGUCAGCGGUAAAAAUGCGGGGCUCAACGGCGGCGAGCCGUUGAAACUGGAGUUCUUGAGUGGGCGAGAGGUAUGCGGAAUGCGUGGUGUAGCGGUGAAAUGCAUAGAUAUCACGCAGAACUCCGAUUGCGAAGGCAGCAUACCGGCGACCUACUGACGCUGAGGCACGAAAGCGUGGGUAUCGAACAGGAUUAGAUACCCCUGUAGUC
rnacentral:rRNA from 1 species